UACGAAGGGGGCUAGCGUUGCUCGGAAUGACUGGGCGUAAAGGGCGCGUAGGCGGUUCAUACAGUCAGAUGUGAAAUUCCCGGGCUUAACCUGGGGGCUGCAUUUGAUACGUGUGGGCUUGAGUGAGGAAGAGGGUUGUGGAAUUCCCAGUGUAGAGGUGAAAUUCGUAGAUAUUGGGAAGAACACCGGUGGCGAAGGCGGCAACCUGGUCCUUUACUGACGCUGAGGCGCCGAAAGCGUUGGGGAGCAAACAGG
rnacentral:rRNA from 1 species